AUUUUUACUUGAAGCCUUAAUAUUUUCUUUUUUUACUGCUUUGUUUGUUGACCUCAUAGGAAAGUGUGAAUAGCAAAGACUUUGGAACUUUGGGCCAAAUACUGCACUGACAUGUAACCAGCAUUUGGCCCCCAUGUCAAAACUGGACGCAGACGUAACCUGAAGGAUGAGUUUCAGUUCACAUUUUGGAACAUAAUGAGGAGAGACAAAGGAAACUAUUUAUACAGGCAUGCGGUAUUCCUGAUACAGGCUAGAUACAGAAUGGGAACUUUUGCAAAGCUUCAGACAGUGGAUCUUACGUAGGGAGAGGAGGAGUGUCUUCUGAGGCAGAGAUGCAUCUCAUGAUAAACCUUGAUGUCUUCAUGUAUGUGCUUUUGAGUGGCAGCCAGCAAGGAGGGAUGUGGGUGUACUAGUGGAGCACCAAAGUGGUGCUCUCCUGCUUUCUGGCUUGUCCUUUCCCACCACGUGCAGCCUCAGUGGGGUCUGUAUGUGAACACGCUGCAUUAAAAGCUUGCUUCCAAAAGAAGAACAGCAGGGUAUAGACAGCCUGUGUCGAGCUCAUCCCUGGGGUGAUAGUUCUGAAGGAAGGCAGGGAUGCUGUGAACCAGCUCUGGACAGAGGUAGGAAAGAGCGUGGGGAUACUUUGUAGUUUGUGUUAAGUAUUAACGAAUUGUUAAAGCUAGAAGUCCCCUAAAUUGUGUAAUGCUCUACAUCUCAGUACCUGAAAUGGUUUGCAAGCAGAGUGCUCCCAUUAUUGCUAACAUUGACCAUUUGUUAGCAAAAUCAAAGUUUAUUGAUAGCUAAGACAAAAGGGUUGGGAGGGAGCUGUUCUUGAGGCAAUAACAUCAAAUCCCUUUUUGUUUCCUGGAUAGCAAUUGCAGUAAAAUACUCUGCUUAUGUUUCCAUUCCUUCGACCAUCUGUUUCCAAUGAGACCCUUCUGGCGUGAUGCAUCACUAUUUAUUAGAGCAUUACAUUACAUUAGAUAAUGCAGCGUUAGUAUUUUUGUUAUAAGCCCUUCAUUUCAUGAGUAUGACUUCAGGGGCAGCACUGGAUGCCUUUCCUUAAUGAAAGACGUAGAGACUGUGUUAGUAUAAUUAGUUUACCAGUUCAGAAAUGUUCUUUUUAGUCUUUCACAAAGAACAUUUUUGGUGCAUCUUUUGAUUUGUAACUCUGCAUGCUUGUGUUUGGUAAACACGGAUGUUCCAGUUUUAAAUGGCCCUACUCCUUACUGAAGGAGACAGGAGGGAGACAGCCUCGGUCAGCUGCUCACGGCUGUAUUUGAGAUACUUCUCUUUAUCGGUGAUACCCAGCACUGCUAAAAAAUUUCUUUUUGCUCUGCUUCAGCCCAGGAGAUGCUUCAACCCUGCGAGCUCCAGGUUAAGGAGUGGGUUGGUCCUUCAUGAUUGACCUUCUCUGCCCUAGAUAAAGUGAAAUCUCAUUUUAAGUAUGUUUAUGGAGAGGGUGUCUGGGGAGGAGGGGAAGUCUUUCAUCCUCAGUGAGCUCCUCUCUCAUUUUUGUGGCCAAAAGAAAGCUGAAGGAUCCCUGGGUUUGUGACUCACAACACCUAGAUUGAAGUCAAGAUCUGAAUCAGUUCUGGCAUGGAUAUACGUAGACUUCCUUUCGUGCCAGAAUCUCCC
rnacentral:lncRNA from 1 species